rnacentral:rRNA from 1 species
GAUGAACGCUGGCGGCGUGCCUAAUACAUGCAAGUCGAGCGAACAGACGAGGAGCUUGCUCCUCUGACGUUAGCGGCGGACGGGUGAGUAACACGUGGAUAACCUACCUAUAAGACUGGGAUAACUUCGGGAAACCGGAGCUAAUACCGGAUAAUAUAUUGAACCGCAUGGUUCAAUAGUGAAAGACGGUUUUGCUGUCACUUAUAGAUGGAUCCGCGACGCAUUAGCUAGUUGGUAAGGUAACGGCUUACCAAGGCAACGAUGCGUAGCCGACCUGAGAGGGUGAUCGGCCACACUGGAACCGAGACACGGUCCAGACUCCUACGGGAGGCAGCAGUAGGGAAUCUUCCGCAAUGGGCGAAAGCCUGACGGAGCAACGCCGCGUGAGUGAUGAAGGUCUUCGGAUCGUAAAACUCUGUUAUUAGGGAAGAACAAAUGUGUAAGUAACUAUGCACGUCUUGACGGUACCUAAUCAGAAAGCCACGGCUAACUACGUG